rnacentral:lncRNA from 1 species
ACUGUUUCAAACUGUUUAUCAAACUGUUUUACUUCAAAAUGUUUUACAAACUCUUUUACUUAUCAAAUACUUUUAUUUAAACUUUAUUAUACUUCUUAUAAAUUGCAUGUCCAUAUAUGCAUAGAUAUAUAAGAAAUGUUUAAAAGGCUUAGGAAGGCCAUCCGCCCUAUUUCCUUUUCCUCGAUUUGGAUGUGGUCUGGUGGGAUGUCGGGUAGCCGUCCGAGGGUCGUUUCAAUAUUAACUAUAUAUCAUAUGUGCACAUAUAGACAUAAAAGUACUCCCAUAUUCAUGUGUAUCAGUUACAUCAUUAGUAAGUUACCAUCGGGGUAACACAGGAUCAUACUACUACAAUUUCUAGAUCAAUGAGUCAGUUCAUUCAUGAGUCAAUACUUAUUACUAUGAGAACAUAUANAACUAUACUAAAGAGAACAUAUACAACUAUAAUAGAAAGAGAACAUAUACAACUAUACUAGAAAGGGAACAUAUAGGACUAUAUUAGAAAUAGAGCAUGUACAACUAUAAUAGGAAGAGAACAUAUACAACGAUACUAGAACAGGAACAAUACAUUACAUAUACAUACAUACACUUACAUAAAUGUGAUCCACUGUAUCGGAGCAUGCCUUAAAUGUCAUGGCCCGAGUUGUAACCAGAGUCUCUUGGAGGGAGAGCGUGAGUUUGCGUAUAGAUCUAUACUGGAUUGACUAUCCUACACCUUGCUGCUAGCUACAGCCGGACCUGCAGGUCUGCGGGUGCCAAACGUCAUACCUUUUUACGACCUACAUUUGUCGUUGUUACUCAGUCGAUAGUAUGGUACAAUUAAUCACAUGAUACCUUAAUAUAAAUCCGGUUUAAGGUAGUUAGUACAGCAGUAGUUCCUAUAAUACAACACUACAGUACUACAUUAAUUUACCCAUUACAUACAUUUAGUGAUUAUUUCACUUAAACAUUAAUGUACAAACUACAUUUUGUUAAUGAUAGUUACACUUGGGAAAUUACACACUUUUACAACAAACGAACAUACAAAACAGUUAAGCCUUGGUAGAAGGCUACUUUAAUAGAAAAUAUAGGUUUUUCUGAGAGAUUCAAACUUUUACAAACACUUACAAACAUUUACAUACAUUUUACAAACUUACAAUGGAGACAUGUUCAAACGUUUUGAUAACAAACACCGACACUAAAAUACUUAUGAACUCACCAGCUUAAAUGCUGAUAAACUCUUUCAAAAUAACUUGUUUUCUAAGGUCAUCAGUAGGCAGGUACCGAGACCAGCUUUUGAGAAGAUGGAGCGCAUUCAAGACUCAUCUCUUUAUUUGGAUUUACAUUAUUUUGGUGUCUGUAACUAUACAGAACACACUUGUAUUAAAAUUACAUAUUUAAUGCAAUGGAUGAUGUUGUUUACUUAUUUACAUUUACUGUGUUGUGAUACUAUACAUGACGUCCUCCGCCCUAGAACGUUUCUGCCGUUCUUGGUUUUGGGGUGUGACAGAUUGGUAUCAGAGCAUUGUUUAUAGUGAAUCAAGUAUAUCAACCCAUAAAAGAUAUACUAAACUAUAAACCCAUUAGGGAUUAAAGCACUCUGACCAAGAGUCUAUACUUUAAAUAUUAAAAUAUUUAAUUNACUAGGCUGCAUUCAUACUAAAAUCAGUGUCACAAUGACAAGAAUAAAAGUAUUACGAUUGUUAAAUAUCGCAAGUGAGCUCGAGGAUGUAUGGUCAGUCUUGGGAAUAGCAUAGCCUGAUCAACUAUGCUGGUCCGAGGAUUGAUUAGCAUAUGCCCUAGAAUGGUUGUGAUGUGUUAACAAGUCUAAAAACUUACCAACACUACUACAAUGGGAACACUAGAACAGAGCAUAGGUUUAAAAUACUAUAGGUGUACUUUGUACUACUAGCUACAUAUAUACUAUAUUCUUAUGCCUCUCUUCUCGCGUAGAUAUCAUGGCUGGAUUCCAUCACGGCGACCCGUACUUUCCAGAUGAAGGCUAUGCAGGGUGGAUCGAAGAAGAGCCCGAAGAUGAGCAUCCAAUCCCUUUGGAUGAUCACCUUGCAGGAGGCUUUUCUGAUGGAUCCGACUCAGAGCCUGAAGUCAACAACCUACCGCUAGUAGGUCAAGCCCCGAACCAUGAUCCUCGACCAGCAUUUCCAGGUCCCACUCCUUUGUGGGUAAACAACUUGAAUCGCUGGAGCGACGAACAGGUUCAACCCUUACCUUACUUUGGGGACCGAAGCUUUUACAACAUUAGCGAAGGUGGUUCUGCAGAUAGAGCUCUGCCAGUCAUGGUCCGUAGAAUUGCUCGAAACGUCGAACAAGGUCGAGCAGCCAUCGACCGAGUCAUGGAAAUUGAUGCCAACUCAGGCGUUAAUACCGUCCGUAUUCGACAUCUAGAAGAAGCGCUCGAAGGGACGAGGAUAACUAAUGACGCACUGCGACGGCAAUUAACCACCGAAAUCGCAGAACAUCGAGUUCGCCAAAGAGCUCACGAACGACACCUUCAAGAAGUGGUUCGCCAACUGGCAGAUAUGAGGAUUCGCCCUAGGAAUUCCCGUCGUUGUUAGAAGAUUUCUAGUACAUCUUUGUCUUUUGAUUAAGGAAUAGCCUUUAGUAUAUGGACUUUUAGUAACGCUUGUCUGUAAAAUAUUCCUAACUCUUAGUACGUUAACUAGGAAUCUAGUGACUGUCAAACUUUUCCGUAUGGUAUGAUGUAAGACCUACUGUUAGGUCAAAUUUUUUCCCUGAACACAUUACAUCAAUAAUACCAUUAAUAUUGACAGCUAUCUAAUCUGUGAGAAAAUCUUUACACUUGCGUUUUCCUACUGUUCUUCCCUAUUGUGACCUUGAUUCGUACACUCAUUCAACUGUUGGACUAUGGCUAUUUAGUCCAUGUGUCGCUCUCAACUUGCUUACAAUUGAUUCUUACCAUUGUAUCUAUCUUUAUAAACUUAUAGCUGAAAUAUGCCUCCACGUAAGUCAACAAGACGUNCCCCCCCCCCCCCCUCCUCCUGUCAUCGAUACCGCGACUCUAAAUGCUACAGUAGCUGCGGCAGUGGCAACUGCCAUGGCUCAAUAUCACUCAACUAACAACAGCCAAGGUGGAACCCCUGUUGAAUCUACUCAUGCUGAGAUCCAUGUGCGCACGAGAGAAUGCUCCUACAAGGAUUUCACCAACUGUAAGCCGAAGUCCUUUUAUGGAACCAGCGGAGUCAUUGCCCUCUUGUAAUGGUUCGAGAAGAAUGAAUCGGUCUUCGAAAUCUGUUCAUGCCCUACUGCGAGCAAAGUCAAAUAUGCCGCAUGCACCUUUGAAGGGAAAGCUCUGACAUGGUGGAACGGCCACAUUAAAGCUCUAACUCUCGUCGGAGCCAACGACAUGGGCUGGGAAACAAUGAAAGACCUCAUGAUUGAGGAGUACUGCCCGAGGGGCGAAAUCCAUAAAUUAGAGCAAAAACUGUGGGGCCUAACCAUGAAGGGCUCCAACAUAGUCGCUUAUACCGCCAGGUUCAGUGAACUGGUGGCUCUUUGCCCCAAUAUGGUUCCCACUGAAGGGAAAAAGAUCGAAAGGUACAUCUGGGGGCUGGUGCCUCCGUACCAAGGAAAUGUCCUAUCAUCAAACCCUACUACUUUCGAUAGUGCCAAGCGGCUGGCACAGCGACUCAUCGACCAUGGAAUCCAAUCCCCAACAGCGACAACAACCCAAGCCGUCUCAGAACCCUCCAAACCCGCUGACUCUAAGCGGAAGUUCUGGGAUGACAAGAAGAAGCAGCGAGCUGCCAAAAAGCAGCAAAUUGUGGCUGUACAUGCUGCGAUAACCCCUACUGCUGCUACUGCUCCGGUGAAGCAAUAUGCUGGAAGUUUGCCUAAGUGCAACAAAUGCAACUUCCACCACAACCGGCCCUGCCGUGAAAUGCAGUGUUCUAACUGCGACAAGAAAGGACACACUGUCCGUUUCUGUAGGUCUCCGGCAAGACCGAUCACUCAAGUCCCUGGCUCAGGCGCGAGCCCAACCUGCUAUGGAUGUGGUGAAGCAGGCCACUACAAGAGGGACUGCCCCAAAGCAAAGAAUGCAGGUGGAUAGGGGAGAGUACUGGCAAUAAGCCAUGGGGAAGCGGUUGCUGACCCGACGGUGGUGACUGGUACGUUCCUUCUCGAUAACUCCUAUGCAUGCAUUCUGUUCGAUAAUGGAGCGGAGCGAAGCUUCGUGAACCAUAAAUUUGCUCACAUACUUAAACAUCAACCGCACGCACUUAAAGAACAAUUCACGGUAGAAAUGGCUAAUGGGAAAACUGAAAGCACUAGGAGUAUAUAUUUAGGAUGCAACCUAACUUUAGAUAACCAUUCAUUUCCAGUCGACCUCAUGCCGGUUUCAAUUAAAAGCUUCGACGUUAUCAUCGACAUGGAUUGGUUGAGUCUUCAUCGCGCCGACAUCAUGUGCUUCGAGAAAGCAAUCCGUCUAAACCUCCCGUUUAAGGAAACUCUUAUCGUCUACGACGACAAACACAGUACAAGUCUUCGUAUUAUCUCCAGUAUUCAAGCAUGGAAAUAUCUACGUAAGGAAUAUCAUGCAUUCCUUGCUCACGUUGUCGAUACAAGCCUAGAAACGAAAGAAAUAAAAGACAUUCCAGUAGUGAGCGACUUCACCGACAUUUUCCCAGAAGAGCUACCAGGAUUACCUCCACAACGACAAGUCGAGUUCAAAAUCAACUUAAUUCAUGGAGCUACCCCAGUAGCCAAGUCGCCAUACCGAUUAGCACCAGCUGAGAUGCAGGAAUUAUCUGGUCAUCUUAACGAACUGCUCAGCAAAGGCUUUAGAAGACCGAGUUUCUCACCUUGGGGAGCACCGGUCUUAUUCGUUAAGAAGAAUGACAGAUCAUUCCGUAUGUGUAUCGACUACAGGGAACUCAACAAACUGACGGUCAAAAACCGUUACCCUCUGCCUCGCAUCGACGAUUUAUUCGACUAACUCCAACGGGCAAAUUAUUUUUCCAAAAUUGAUCUGAUAUCCGGAUAUCACCAGUUACGAGUGCUAGAGGAGGAUGUGCCGAAGACAGCCUUCCGAACUCAUUACAGACACUAUGAGUUUGUGGUGAUGUCAUUCGGACUGACCAAUGCGCCCGCAGUUUUCAUGGAUCUGAUGAAUCGAGUAUGCCGACCUUAAUUGGAUCAGUUCGUAAUUGUCUUCAUCGAUGACAUCUUGAUCUACUCCCGGAGUAAGGAAGAGCAUGGAAAUCACCUACGACAAGUUCUAAGAACUUUACGAACGGAGAAGCUCUAUGCAAAGUUCUCGAAAUGUGAAUUUUGGAUCCGAAGAGUCGAAUUCUUAGGACAUGUGGUAAGCGAAGAGGGAAUCCACGUAGAUCCGUCCAAAAUUAAGGCUAUUGAGAACUGGUCAGCACCAAAGACGCCUACAGAAUUUCGUCAAUUUCUAGGUCUUGCUGGCUACUACCGCAGAUUCAUACAGAACUUCUCCAGUAUUGAAAAACCUCUUACAACACUGACCCAUAAGGGCGCGGCCUUUAACUGGGAAGAGAAACAAGAGACAGCAUUUCAAACGCUCAAGCGAGCCUUGUGCACUGCACCAAUACUAUCCCUACCCGAAGGAAUAGAAGAAUUCGUAGUCUAUUGCGAUGCAACGGGGUAAGGUCAUCGCCUACGCCUCGAGACAACUAAAGACACACGAAGUCAACUACACCACACAUGAUCUUGAGCUGGGGGCAGUUGUAUUUGCCCUGAAGAUCUGGAGACAUUACCUGUAUGGCACCAAAAGCACCAUUUUUACUGACCGCAAGAGUUUACAACACAUAUUCGAUCAGAAGGAGCUCAACAUGCGUCAACGAGGGUGGGUUGAGCUACUCAAUGACUACGAAUGCGACAUUCGUUAUCACCCGGGUAAAGCCAACGUAGUAGCAGACGCCCUAAUUCGGAAGGAAUAUUCUGGUCGAAGAGUCAAGUCGUUGACAAUGACUAUCCAUUCGCACUUGUCUAAACAAAUUCAGGCGGCUUAACUUGAAGCAAUGAAACCUGAACAUGUGGCGAGUGAAUCCCUCAGAGGAAUGGAUAAGAACUUAGAAGCCAAGGGUGAUGGGGCCCUAUUUUUCAUGAAACGGAUCUGGACCCCGAAGCACGGUGGUUUCCAAGACUUGGUCAUGACUGAGGCACACAACACUCGGUAUUCCGUCCACCCAGGUUCGGAUAAGAUGUAUCUGGAUCUUAAAAAGCUAUACCGGUGGCCUAAUAUGAAAGCAGAGAUUGCUACCUUCGUAAGUAAAUGCCUUACUUGCGCAAAGGUCAAGGUCGAGUACCAGAAACCCUCUGGUUUACUGCAACAACCAGAGAUCCCAGAAUGGAAGUGGGAGCGGAUCACUAUGGAUUUCAUAACCAAGUUGCCCAAGACAACGGGUGGACUUGAUACCAUAUGGGUCAUCGUCGAUAGAUUGACCAAGUCUGCACACUUCCUACCUAUCAAGGAAACUGAUAAGAUGGAGAAACUUAUGAGAACAUACAUUAGGGAAAUCAUGCGACUACAUGGUGUUCCUAUAUCCAUUAUCUCCGAUAGAUAUUAUAGGUUCACCUCAAGAUUCUGGCAAUCACUACAACAUUCCCUAGGAACAAGGCUAGACAUGAGCACAGCCUACCAUCCUCAGACCGACGGGCAAAGUGAGAGGACCAUCCAAACACUGGAAGAUAUGCUGAGAGCCUGUGUGAUUGAUUUUGGAAAGGCAUGGGAUACUCACUUACCUCUUUUCGAAUUUUCCUACAACAACAAUUAUCACACGAGCAUCAAGACUGCCCCAUUUGAAGCCCUCUACGGGCGGAAGUGCAGAUCCCCUCUGUGCUGGGCUGAAGUGGGUGACACCCAGUUGGAUAAGGGGCAAACUUCUGACAGUACUCUCACAGGCCCGGAAAUCAUUCGGGAAACGACGGAGAAGAUCGUUCAGACCCGUGAACGAUUGAAAGCCUCCAGAGACCGACAGAAAAGCUACGCCGAUAAACGUAGAAAACCGUUGGAAUUCCAGGUGGGCGACCGCGUUUUAUUGAAGGUCUCACCCUGGAAGGGCUUAAUACGAUUCAGAAAGCAGGGAAAGCUAAAUCCAAGGUACAUUGGGCCUUUCGAGAUUCUCGCAAGAAUUGGCGCAGUAGCUUACAAACUCAAUCUACCGAACGAACUUCGUAACGUACAUUCUACCUUCCACGUUUCCAACUUGAAAAAGUGUCUAUCUGAUGAGACUCUUGUAAUCCCACUCGACGAGAUCGAGAUCAACGAGAGCCUCAACUUCGUGGAAGAACCCGUAGAAGUCAUGGACCGUGAUGUCAAAAGGACGAAACAAUGCCGCAUCCCAAUUGUGAAGGUUCGCUGGAACGCCAAGCGAGGACCGGAAUUUACAUGGGAGCGAGAGGAUCAGAUGAAACUGGAAUAUCCUCAUCUUUUUACUUAGUUACUUGUAAUAACCUAGUAGCUUAAACUCAAAUUUCGGGACGAAAUUCCCUCUAACAGGGGAUGACGUGACAACCCGAAAUAGUUCUCGCAUACAUCCUUCAUUUCUUAUCAAUAUUAGAAUCAUUUUACUAUAUGGUAGUACCAUUUAGAGUCUUUUGAAGCAUUCUAAAUGUGAUGUAAUCAAGGUAGGAGUGUUAAAAAGGGUUAACUCGAAGUUUAGGAAUCAAAACCGGGCCAAACACUCCAACACAUGGAGUGUGCGGCUACACACUUGAGUGUGCGGCCACACACUCUUGUUUGCGGCCUCACACCCUUCCCAACCGCAACUCCACCUAUAUAUACCACACUUGAAUCAUUUUUGAACAUUUCCCUCACUUCUUCAAGCAUAGAACACGAAAUCCUCUCAAGUAUCAUCCAUCCUCCUUGAAGAUCUUCAUAAAAAGGUACCAAGAAUACCAAGAACACCAAGAACACCAAGAACACCAAGAUCAACAUCUGGCCGCACAUAUGGCAGCACACACCAUCUGGCAGCACACAUGGCCGCACACAUGUUAUGGCAGCACACUAGGCCGCACACCUGGCCGCACACACCCAUAUAGUAUGUAUUUUGGCCAUACACCCUCUUGUAUAGCCUUAUAAACCCUCAUACAAUCAUAUAUGAUUAUAACACUUCAUUAUAAGUGUUUACUAGUCCCUAAGAUGGUCCCAAAAUCAUCAAUUAGUUGUUCAUAACACUAAUUUUAUCCAUAUAUGUGCCAUUAUAUGCUAAAUAGGAUUCGCGUGUGUACUCAAGUCACCACUUGACACCUAGCAUCAAAUCCAACUUUGUCAUCAGAACCACUCACUACAGAUGAGUUCAUACCCCUUUAAUUAACCUUUGAAAUACUUUUAAAUGUUUUAAAUACUUUUAUGGGGGCGGGGGAAUACAAGUCGAAUACUUAUAGUUAUUACAUCAAUCACAUGUGAUUAAUAACUACAAAACCAAUGAUUUCAUCACUGUUUCAAACUGUUUAUCAAACUGUUUUACUUAAAAAUGUUUUACAAACUCUUUUACUUAUCAAAUACUUUUAUUUAAACUUUAUUAUACUUCUUAUAAAUUGCAUGUCCAUAUAUGCAUAGAUAUAUAAGAAAUGUUUAAAAGGCUUAGGAAGGCCAUCCGCCCUAUUUCCUUUUCCUUGAUUUGGAUGUGGUUUGGUGGGAUGUCGGGUAGCCGUCCGAGGGUCGUUUCAAUAUUAACUAUAUAUCAUAUGUGCAUAUAUAGACAUAAAAUUACUCCCAUAUUCAUGCGUAUCAGUUACAUCAUUAGUAAGUUACCAUCGGGGUAACACAUGAUCAUACUACUACAAUUUCUAGAUCAAUGAGUCAGUUCAUUCAUGAGUCAAUACUUAUUACUAUGAGAACAUAUACAUUACAUUACUAUGAGAACGUUUACAACUAUGCUAGAAAGAGAACAUAUACAACUAUAAUAGAAAGAGAACAUAUACAACUAUACUAGAAAGGGAACAUAUACGACUAUACUAGAAAGAGAGCAUAUACAACUAUAAUAGGAAGAGAACAUAUACAACGAUACUAGAACAAGAACAAUACAUUAGAUAUACAUACAUACACUUAAAUAAAUGUGAUCCACUGUAUCGGAGCAUGCCUUAAAUGUCAUGGCCCGAAUUGUAACCAGAGUCUCUUGGAGGGAGAGCGUGAGUUUGCGUAUAGAUCUAUACUGGAUUGACUAUCCUACACCUUGCUGCUAGCUACAGCCGGACCUGCAGGUCUGCGGGUGCCAAACGUCAUANUACAUUUUUCAUUGUUACUCAGUCGAUAGUAUGGUACAAUUAAUCACUUGAUACCUUAAUAUAAAUCCGGUUUAAGGUAGUUAGUACAACAGUAGUUCCUAUAAUACAACACUACAGUACUACAUUAAUUUACCCAUUACAUACAUUUAGUGAUUACUUCACUUAAACAUUAAUGUACAAACUAUAUUUUGUUAAUGAUAGUUACACUUGGGAAAUUACACACUUUUACAACAAACGAACAUACAAAACAGUUAAGCCUUGGAGGAAGACGACUUUAAUAGAAAAUAUAGGUUUUUCUAAGAGAUUCAAACUUUUACAAACACUGACAAACAUUUACAUACAUUUUAGAAACUUACAAUGGAGACAUGUUCAAACGUUUUGAUAACAAACAUCGACACUAAAUUACUUAUGAACUCACCAGCUUAAAUGCUGAUAAACUAUUUCAAAAUAACUUGUAUUCUCAGGUCAUCAGUAGGCAGGUACCGAGACCAGCUUUUGAGAAGAUGGAGCGCAUUCAGGACUCAUCUCUUUAUUUUGAUUUACAUUAUUUUGGUGUCUAUAACUAUAUAGAACACACUUGUAUUAAAAUUACAUAUUUA